UGAGGGAUUAGUUUACGCUAAAUCACAGGAUUGUCGGUUCUGGGAAACCUUUAGGAGGUAUCCCUCAA
rnacentral:tRNA from 1 species